rnacentral:sRNA from 1 species
GAUUUAAAGCAAUAUUAUAUUUCAACUAGUAUUAAAUGCUAAAUCAAUUAUUACGCGAGGUAAAGAUUAGAACCAAACAAAAUUACCACGGGUAACGAGCUCGUAUGUGCAGCUUGUCAUUUAUUUCUUUGCACUAGUUAUCUUUUAGAUAGAGAAUUACGAUAGAGUUAUUACGACGUAUAAUCGUACAAAUGAGCAUUUUUUGAAGAUGUUUUUAUUGAUAUUAUGACAAUAUAUCUUGUAAUUUAAUAACUUAAUAUUUCGGUAUCAUAUUUGUAUGACAAAAUAUCCCCAACUUACGACAAAAAUACGAAAUGUAGGAAGAGAACAGUGUAAAAUAAUAACAUAAUUAUGCUGAGGUAUUUUUUUUUUUGCAGUGUUAACAUUAUGUACAUAUAAAAGAAUAAAAUGUAAUCUGUC